rnacentral:rRNA from 1 species
GAGUUUGAUCGUGGCUCAGGACGAACGCUGGCGGCGUGCUUAACACAUGCAAGUCGAGCGGAAAGGCCCUUCGGGGUACUCGAGCGGCGAACGGGUGAGUAACACGUGGGCAACCUGCCCCUAGCUCUGGGACAACUCCGGGAAACCGGGGCUAAUACCGGAUACGACCUCGGAAGGCAUUUUCUGAGGUGGAAAGUUUUUCGGCUAGGGAUGGGCCCGCGGCCUAUCAGCUUGUUGGUGAGGUAACGGCCCACCAAGGCGACGACGGGUAGCCGGCCUGAGAGGGCGACCGGCCACACUGGGACUGAGACACGGCCCAGACUCCUACGGGAGGCAGCAGUGGGGAAUAUUGCGCAAUGGGCGAAAGCCUGACGCAGCGACGCCGCGUGAGGGAUGAAGGCC